rnacentral:rRNA from 1 species
AAUUUUGGUCAAUGGGGGAAACCCUGAUCCAGCCAUCCCGCGUGUAUGAUGAAGGCAUUCGGGUUGUAAAUUAAUUUUGGCAGAGAAGAAAAGGUAUCUCCUAAUACGAGAUCCUGCUGACGGAAUCUGCAGAAUAAGCACCGGCUAACACCGAGACGGCAGCUGCGGUAAUACGUAGGGUGCAAGCGUUAAUCGGAAUUACUGGGCGUAAAGCGUGUGUAGGCGGUUCGGAAAGAAAGAUGUGAAAUCCCAGGGCUCAACCUUGGAACUGCAUUUUUAACUGCCGAGCUAGAGUAUGUCAGAGGGGGGUAGAAUUCCACGUGUAGCAGUGAAAUGCGUAGAUAUGUGGAGGAAUACCGAUGGCGAAGGCAGCCCCCUGGGAUAAUACUGACGCUCAGACACGAAAGCGUGGGGAGCAAACA